AUAGUAGUGCCCGCAGCUGGUUCGGCAGUCACUCCACGACGGCCGAGGCAAGAGGGAACCCGGUGGAAUUCCGGGACUGCCCCGCAGCGGUGAGUGGGAACGACCGCCGUCAACGAAGCACUGGGCCCGCCAGGUCUGGGAAGCGACGGCCAGUAGGCACGAACACGCCCACGAGUCCGAAGACCUGCCAGCGCGCCGCACGCGUA
rnacentral:ncRNA from 2 species